GACGAACGCUGGCGGCGUGCUUAACACAUGCAAGUCGAACGGAAAGGCCCUGCUUUUGUGGGGUGCUCGAGUGGCGAACGGGUGAGUAACACGUGAGUAACCUGCCCUUGACUUUGGGAUAACUUCAGGAAACUGGGGCUAAUACCGGAUAGGAGCUCCUGUUGCAUGGGGGGGGGUGGAGAGUUUCGGCGGUUGGGGAUGGACUCGCGGCUUAUCAGCUUGUUGGUGGGGUAGGGGCUUACCAAGGCUUUGACGGGUAGCCGGCCUGAGAGGGUGACCGGCCACAUUGGGCCUGGGGUAGGGCCCAGCCUCCAACGGGGGGCAGCGGUGGGAAAUAUGGCACAAUGGGCGGAAGCCUGAGGCGGCACCGCCGGGUGCGGAAUGACGGCCUUCGGGUGUUAAACCGCUUUCGCCUGUGACGAAGCGUGAGUGACGGUAAUGGGUAAAGAAGCACCGGCUAACUACGUG
rnacentral:rRNA from 1 species